rnacentral:rRNA from 1 species
UACGUAGGCAGCGAGCGUUGUUCGGAGUUACUGGGCGUAAAGGGUGUGUAGGCGGUCCUCUAAGUUUGGUGUGAAAUCUCCCGGCUUAACCGGGAGGGUGCGCCGAAAACUGGAGGGCUAGAGUGCGGGAUGGGAGAGUAGAAUUCCUGGUGUAGCGGUGAAAUGCGUAGAUAUCAGGAGGAAUACCGGGUGGUGAGACGGCUCUCUGGACCGCGACGUGACGCUGAGACACGAAAGCGUGGGUAGCAAACAGG